rnacentral:rRNA from 1 species
UACGUAGGGGGCAAGCGUUGUCCGGAUUUAUUGGGCGUAAAGAGCGUGUAGGCGGCCAUACAGGUCAGCUGUGAAAAACUCGAGGCUCAACCCUCGAGACGUCGGUUGAAAACCGUAUGGCUAGAGUCCGGAAGAGGAGAGUGGAAUUCCCCGGUGUAGCGGUGAAAUGCGCAGAUAUCGGGAAGAACACCCGUGGCGAAGGCGGCUCUCUGGGGACGGUACUGACGCUGAGACGCGAAAAGCGUGGGGGAGCGAAC